UUGAGAAGGAUCGGUCUGCAUACGCCUGAGCCACUUGGUGUCGUUGAUUAUUCCAAUAGCUGACACAAUCCAUGAUGUAUUUACAUCGACGUUGUACUCUGAUAAUUGAGGUUCUUCUGCGGGAGUGGUAUGAUUGUAGAAUCCGUUUUUACUCAUGAGUCUUUGAGAACUUUGACCUCAAUCAUAUCUUUGAUCAUUCUGAGGAGCGUUACGGCCUGCACCAUUAUUUCUCUAAUCAGCAUACGGCUGAUACCAUUAUUUAGUUGAUCUGGAUUCUCUAUUUGUAUCCCUUGGGAGUCUGGCUGCCGAUCUAUUAGAAUGAAACAAACCCGAGGGAGCUCCCAACUGGUCGUCCUUGACCCUGAUUUUUGAUUGAUAACGGUUGUGCACAUCUGGCCACGUCACAGUUGGAUACUCAAUCAGAUUCUGCUUUAAUUGUCGAGAUGCAACCAAGAUCUUUUCAUUCAAACCCUGAAUAAAAGCUUGUAUUGCUCAGUCAUCCGAGACAGGUGUUAAUUCCAUUCUUUCCAUGUGAAACCUGGACACGAACCCCCUUAAAAUCUCAUCGUUCCUUUGUUUUAUCUUGAACGUUCGAUUUUAUCAUGGCCACCUUUAUGGCCCUGGCG
rnacentral:lncRNA from 1 species